rnacentral:rRNA from 1 species
AACGAACGCUGGCGGCAGGCCUAACACAUGCAAGUCGAACGCGCGUAGCAAUACGCGAGUGGCGCACGGGUGAGUAACACGUGGGAAUCUACCCAGAGGUUCGGAAUAACCGCGGGAAACUGCGGCUAAUACCGGAUAUCCCCUAAGGGGGAAAGAUUUAUCGCCUUUGGACGAGCCCGCGUCCGAUUAGCUAGUUGGUGAGGUAAUGGCUCACCAAGGCUACGAUCGGUAGCUGGUCUGAGAGGACGACCAGCCACACUGGAACUGAGACACGGUCCAGACUCCUACGGGAGGCAGCAGUGGGGAAUAUUGGGCAAUGGAGGCAACUCUGACCCAGCCAUGCCGCGUGGGUGACGAAGGUCUUCGGAUUGUAAAGCCCUUUCGGCGGGGACGAUGAUGACGGUACCCGCAGAAGAA